rnacentral:rRNA from 1 species
AUUGAACGCUAGCGGCAGGCCUAACACAUGCAAGUCGAGCGGAGCGGCGGACGGGUGAGUAAUGCCUAGGAAUCUGACCGGUAGUAGGGGAUGACGUCCGCAAACGGGCGCUAAUACCGCAUACUAUCAGAUGAGCCUAGGUCGGAUUAGCUAGUUGGUGGGGUAAAGGCCUACCAAGGCGACGAUCCGUAACUGGUCUGAGAGGAGGAUCAGUCACAAGGGAACUUAGACACGGUCCAGACGCCUACGUGAGGCAGCAGUGGGGAAUAUUGGACAAUGGGAGAAAGCCUGAUCCAGCCAUGCCGCGUGUGUGAAGAAGGUCUUCGGAUUGUAAAGUACUUGAAGUUGGGAAGCGUUACCAACAGAAUAAGCACCGGCUAACUUCGUGCCAGCAGCCGCGGUAAUUC